AUGGACAUGCGUUGUAUUAGUUAGUUGGUGAGGUAACGGCUCACCAAGGCGACGAUACAUAGGGGGACUGAGAGGUUAACCCCCCACAUUGGUACUGAGACACGGACCAAACUCCUACGGGAGGCAGCAGUGAGGAAUAUUGGUCAAUGGACGCAAGUCUGAACCAGCCAUGCCGCGUGCAGGAUGACGGCUCUAUGAGUUGUAAACUGCUUUUGUACGAGGGUAAUAUCAGAUACGUGUAUCUGCUUGAAAGUAUCGUACGAAUAAGGAUCGGCUAACUCCGUGCCAGCAGCCGCGGUAAUACGGAGGAUCCAAGCGUUAUCCGGAUUUAUUGGGUUUAAAGGGUGCGUAGGCGGUUUUAUAAGUUAGAGGUGAAAAUUCGGGGCUCAACUCCGGACGUGCCUCUAAUACUGUAUGACUAGAGAAUAGAUGCGGUAGGCGGAAUGUAUGGUGUAGCGGUGAAAUGCGUAGAGAUCAUACAGAACACCGAUUGCGAAGGCAGCUUACCAAACUAUAUCUGACGUUGAGGCACGAAAGCGUGGGGAGCAAACAGGAUUAGAUACCCUGGUAGUCCACGCAGUAAACGAUGAUAGCUCGUUGUCGGCGAUACA
rnacentral:rRNA from 1 species